rnacentral:rRNA from 1 species
GCGCGAAAACUUUACAAUGCUGGCAACAGCGAUAAGGGAACCUCGAGUGCCAGGUUACAAAUCUGGCUGUCGAGAUGCCUAAAAAGCAUUUCAUAGCAAGGGCCGGGCAAGACCGGUGCCAGCCGCCGCGGUAACACCGGCGGCUCGAGUGGUAACCGUUAUUAUUGGGUCUAAAGGGUCUGUAGCCGGCCGGAUAAGUCUCUUGGGAAAUCCAGCAGCCUAACUGUUGGGCUUUCAGGAGACACUAUUCGGCUCGAGGCCGGGAGAGGUGAGAGGUACUUCAGGGGUAGGGGUGAAAUCUUGUAAUCCUUGAAGGACCACCAGUGGCGAAGGCGUCUCACCAGAACGGACCUGACGGCAAGGGACGAAAGCUAGGGGCACGAACC